rfam:Anaerolineaceae bacterium 4572_32.2 ex4572_32.2_scaffold_2409, whole genome shotgun sequence.
GGGGAUGAAAGGCUUCGACGGGGAAGGCUGACCACGGAUGGCAAGCCGGGGCGCUCUAACCCCGUUAACAAUGGAGCACAAACUCCAAAGUGCCAAUAACACUUGGUUUCCCGUUCCUCAGCCCGCGAUGGCGGCCGCCAUUCCAAUGGUAGCCUAAUCCGGUCUGAGAACGAACUGACCGCAUAGACGGUCACGUCCGCCCCGGCUUUUCGCUGGCGGGCCGGGGGCCGGACGUCACAAAGUCAGCGUGCGGCGCUUUAACGCCGAUGGAAGCGCUCAAGCGGGAGUUUCGACUCCCAUCGGCUUGAUCUGGGUGCAGCGCGGUUGGCGGCGGCUCCCCAGACGAGAAAUAAAGGCCGACUAAGCUUGUAGAAAUCCCUGAUUGAAUUCUUCGGACGCGGGUUCGAUUCCCGCCAUCUCCACCA